UACAGAGGUCCCAAGCGUUGUUCGGAUUCACUGGGCGUAAAGGGUGCGUAGGUGGCGAGGUAAGUCGGAUGUUGAAAGCUCGGAGCUCAACUCCGAAAUGGCAUUGGAAACUACCUUGCUCGAGGGUCGGAGGGGGGACUGGAAUACUUGGUGUAGCAGUGAAAUGCGUAGAUAUCAAGUGGAACACCAGUGGCGAAGGCGGCCUUCUGGCUCGCAACGUGACGCUGUAGCGCGAAAGCGUGGGGAGCGAACGGG
rnacentral:rRNA from 1 species